GGGCUCGGUUGUUCAUGAUUUUUCCACUGUUCCUGCAUCUUCUUCGCAGCGACGCCGAGUUCCCAUUCCACCUUCAGAUCCAAGAGCUUACCUUCUUCAUCAUCGACGAUCAUUGAGCUGCCCGCGUUCAUCGUCUGAGGAAGAGGGUGUUUCCCCAAGAUCUGCGAUCUCCAUUAGCAAACGGAGCUCGAAGGGGGUUUCCCAGAAGCAUCUGAUUUCAUUCCAUCUUCAGUCCAUCUGCUAAACUCGAAUUCAAUUGAUCAAUCGAUCGAGUGAUGCAAAAUUCUAGAAUUGAGCUACUGUUCUUCGUGCGAUGUGAGUGUCAUCCAAUCCGUGAGCCUGAAGGGUGUUUCCCAAAGGAUGUGAUCGAGAGGAUGCAUUAGCCGGAAGCUUGGUUCUUUGUCGGUGGUCACCCGAAGGGUGUUCUCAGAGGUGACUCUGUUUUUCUAGCAGAAUGAAGAAGAUCUGAUCCGGAUUUGGUUUGUGGAAUGUUUAGGGUUUAGUUUUCUUUAUUUUUGUCCUUGAUUUGUUCUUGAAUCUGCUCAGAUCCUAUGAUCUGAUUUUUACUUUUGCAAUUCAAUUUUUAUUUGAAUUUCUGAAACCCAAAUCUUAUUUCUGCAUCUUAUUAAUUUGCAAUUUAUGUUCA